rnacentral:tRNA from 1 species
GUUUCUAGGGCCCCUAAGGCUCUGGUCUGCGAAACCAGAGAUUCUGGGUUCGUUCCCCAGUGGAGUCG